rnacentral:rRNA from 1 species
GUUUGAGAUUGGCUCAGGAUGAACGCUGGCGGCGUGCCUAAUACAUGCAAGUCGAGCGAAUGGAUUAAGACUUGCUCUUAUGAAGUUAGCGGCGGACGGGUGAGUAACACGUGGGUAACCUGCCCAUAAGACUGGGAUAACUCCGGGAAACCGGGGCUAAUACCGGAUAAUAUUUUGAACCGCAUGGUUCGAAAUUGAAAGGCGGCUUCGGCUGUCACUUAUGGAUGGACCCGCGUCGCAUUAGCUAGUUGGUGAGGUAACGGCUCACCAAGGCAACGAUGCGUAGCCGACCAUAGAGGGUGAUCGGCCACAAUGGGACUGAGACACGGCCCAGACUCCUACGGGAGGCAGCAGUAGGGAAUCUUCCGCAAUGGACGAAAGUCUGACGGAGCAACGCCGCGUGAGUGAUGAAGGCUUUCGGGUCGUAAAACUCUGUUCUUAGGGAAGAACAAGUGCUAGUUGAAUAAGCUGGCACCUUGACGGUACCUAACCAGAAAGCCACGGCUAACUACGUGCCACGCAGCCGCUGAAUACGUAGGUGGCAAGCGUUAUCCGGAAUUAUUGGGCGUAAAGCGCGCGCAGGUGGUUUCUUAAGUCUGAUGUGAAAGCCCACGGCUCAACCGUGGAGGGUCAUUGGAAACUGGGAGACUUGAGUGCAGAAGAGGAAAGUGGCGUUCCAUGUGUAGCGGUGAAAUGCGUAGAGAUAUGGAGGAACACCAGUGGCGAAGGCGACUUUCUGGUCUGUAACUGACACUGAGGCGCGAAAGCGUGGGGAGCAAACAGGAUUAGACGCCCUGGUAGUCCACGCCGUAAACGAUGAGUGCUAAGUGUUAGAGGGUUUCCGCCCUUU